CCUUUAAUGGAGAGUUUGAUCCUGGCUCAGGACGAACGCUGGCGGCGUGCCUAAUACAUGCAAGUCGAGCGGAGCUUUCGCGGCGGAAGCCUUCGGGUGGAAGCUGCGAAAGCUUAGCGGCGGACGGGUGAGUAACACGUGGGCAACCUGCCCGAAAGACCGGGAUAACAUCCGGAAACGGAUGCUAAUACCGGAUAAGCGGACCUUUCGCAUGAAGGGUUCGGGAAAGACGGGGCAACCUGUCACUUUCGGAUGGGCCCGCGGCGCAUUAGCUGGUUGGCGGGGUAACGGCCCACCAAGGCGACGAUGCGUAGCCGACCUGAGAGGGUGAACGGCCACACUGGGACUGAGACACGGCCCAGACUCCUACGGGAGGCAGCAGUAGGGAAUCUUCCGCAAUGGACGAAAGUCUGACGGAGCAACGCCGCGUGAGCGAAGAAGGUCUUCGGAUCGUAAAGC
rnacentral:rRNA from 1 species